GGGAGUGUAACUCAGUGGUAGAGUGUGUGCUUAGCACGCAUGAGGCCCCAGGUUCAAUCCCUGCACCUCCA
rnacentral:tRNA from 1 species